UACGUAGGGUGCAAGCGUUGUCCGGAAUUAUUGGGCGUAAAGAGCUUGUAGGCGGUUUGUCGCGUCUGCUGUGAAAUUUCGGGGCUCAACCUUGAGCUUGCAGUGGGUACGGGCAGACUAGAGUGUGGUAGGGGAGACUGGAAUUCCUGGUGUAGCGGUGAAAUGCGCAGAUAUCGGGAGGAACACCGAUGGCGAAGGCAGGUCUCUGGGCCACUACUGACGCUGAGAAGCGAAAGCAUGGGGAGCGAACAGG
rnacentral:rRNA from 1 species